rnacentral:rRNA from 1 species
GACGAACGCUGGCGGCGUGCCUAAUACAUGCAAGUAGGACGCAGUUGCGAACGGGUGAGUAACGCGUAGGUAACUACCUAUUAGAGGGGGAUAACUAUUGGAAACGAUAGCUAAUACCGCAUACUAGUAGAUGGACCUGCGUUGUAUUAGCUAGUAGGUGGGGUAAUGGGCUACCUAGGCAACGAUACAUAGCCGACCUUGGGAGGUGAUCGGCCAACCCGGGACUGAGAACACGGCCAGACUUCUAAGGGAGGGCGCAGUAGGGAAUCUUCGGAAAUGGGGGGAACGCUGAACGAGCAACGCCGCGGGAGUGAAUAAGGUUUUCGGAUCUGAAAGCUCUGUUGUUAAGGAAGCGGUACUUAAACAGAAAGGGACGGCUAACUACGUGCCAGCAGCCGCGGUAAUUC